rnacentral:rRNA from 1 species
AGCGGCGGACGGGUGAGUAACGCGUGGGUAACCUGCCCUGUACACACGGAUAACAUACCGAAAGGUAUGCUAAUACGAGAUAAUAUACUUUUAUCGCAUGGUAGAAGUAUCAAAGCUUUUGCGGUACAGGAUGGACCCGCGUCUGAUUAGCUAGUUGGUAAGGUAACGGCUUACCAAGGCGACGAUCAGUAGCCGACCUGAGAGGGUGAUCGGCCACAUUGGAACUGAGACACGGUCCAAACUCCUACGGGAGGCAGCAGUGGGGAAUAUUGCACAAUGGGCGAAAGCCUGAUGCAGCAACGCCGCGUGAGCGAUGAAGGCCUUCGGGUCGUAAAGCUCUGUCCUCAAGGAAGAUAAUGACGGUACUUGAGGAGGAAGCCCCGGCUAACUACGUGCCAGCAGCCGCGGUAAUACGUAGGGGACUAGCGUUAUCCGGAAUUACUGGGCGUAAAGGGUGCGUAGGUGGUUUCUUAAGUCAGAGGUGAAAGGCUACGGCUCAACCGUAGUAAGCCUUUGAAACUGGGAAACUUGAGUGCAGGAGAGGAGAGUGGAAUUCCUAGUGUAGCGGUGAAAUGCGUAGAUAUUAGGAGGAACACCAGUUGCGAGGGCGGCUCUCUGGACUGUAACUGACACUGAGGCACGAAAGCGUGGGGAGCAAACAGGAUUAGAUACCCUGGUAGUCCACGCCGUAAACGAUGAGUACUAGCUGU